rnacentral:rRNA from 1 species
UACGAAGGGGGCUAGCGUUGUUCGGAUUUACUGGGCGUAAAGCGCACGUAGGCGGAUCGUUAAGUCAGGGGUGAAAUCCUGGAGCUCAACUCCAGAACUGCCUUUGAUACUGGAGAGCUUGAGUCCGGGAGAGGUGAGUGGAACUCCGAGUGUAGAGGUGAAAUUCGUAGAUAUUCGGAAGAACACCAGUGGCGAAGGCGGCUCACUGGCCCGGUACUGACGCUGAUGUGCGAAAGCGUGGGGAGCAAACAGG